UCCGUGUUGUCGAAAGGCGACUGCGGCGCGCGCGUGCAGGCAACUUCAAUCGAGCAACAUUCAUCCGUCCUUAUUAUCGAGUAAUUAUGAGCACUGCGUCGCGGGGUUCCCGAUUUAGCAUGAAGAAGGUCGGAAACCAUAGAGUGUCGACGCAUGAAGCGGCCACGGGGGAUAUCUUAUUGCAAAGGGGCAGCGACAACGAGACGCUGCUGUUGACGCUGCGCAGUCAGUGGUGGUUGGGCGGCGCAUGCGUGGUACUGCAGCUCUGUCUAUCGUGGGACUGCCGUACAGCGGCCGCUGGCAUCUGGACAGGUGGCUGGUUCUUCUUGACAGGACUGACUGGCCUACACCUUGUUGGACGACAUCCGCUGGCGAACCGCGAGGUGGCGACAGUGUCGGUGAUGAGCAUUGUCGGAAUCGUACUCGCCGUGGUGCUGGUGGCGCUCUCUACAAUUAUAUCAGCAGAGCCGAGUUGGUGCUGCCAUCUAGCGCGUAUCUCCUCGACGCCCGACGCAGCAGAAGCAGCAGCAGCAGCAGCAGCAGCGCCGUACACGGAGAGAUGCGACGCGAUACGCAUAUUCAGUCUCGCGCUCGUUAUUUCUGGAAUCGCCGAAAUCUGCGUGGCCUUCUGCACCAUCGCGAUAUGCGUCAGCGUGCUCACAUCUCGGCUCCAUCGACUUGCGGACCACGAGCUCAGCCUGCCAGCGGUGAGGCUAACUACCGAUGACGUGACCAGCAGCACGCGUCCGGUCGCGGCUGCUGCUGCGCUAGCACCGACCGAUGCUCCGGCGAUGGAGAGUCUAUCGUUUCUGUCGACCUUGCAACCGUUCUCCCCCGCCGGAGAACGCGGUGCAUGUGCUCGUUGCAAGAACGCGUCCGAUAGACGCCAUGAUUUAAACGCGAAUGAGCUGUAAACUGGAAUGGGAGAUGCACGCGUGCGGCAGCCUUUGUCGGCGUGAGAUUUUUUGCUUGCUUUGUAGAUAUAGAAGUCGAGAUAGGGCGAAAUCAAACUGUUCUACUCACACUUAGCGAAACGGUACGCGUUAGGAAUGAUCUUUAGCGGUGUCGCAUUAUUUAAUGUUUGUCGUUGUUUAACACGUGUGUUAUCGUUAUGUUUAUUCGUAUUACUAACCUAAUUUCUCUGCAAGAUUUGCACGCAUUUUGUAACAGUGUUCGAUGCUGUGAUAGAUACGGGCAUCAAUAACAUUCGCACCGUACUUUGAAUCACAGUAAUCUGCUCCAGCUGAUUUUAGACUCGUGACAGAUAUUUUCAUGGAGAAUUAAAUAGGUAAUAACAGGGGUAGAUAAUGAUAAAUAAUGUCACAAAUUUGUCAUUAUCUUCCCCUCGUAAUAGUCAUCGCGUAUAAAUAAGUCUCGUAAGACAUUACAGAAUUCAUAAUUACAAGAAGCAAUAACGCUAAGCUUUAGUUAAAUAUGACUACAUCAAUAUAUCGUGCAUAAUCAACAAGAAAAGGUGAUACAAAACGGCAUUGAGAAAAAUCGAUACGAAAAAUAUACAUAAAAUUCAAAAUACGCACAACACCGAUUUAUUCGCGCUAGUAACUAUUGCAUUACCUAUUUACCAAGAGCGGUAAGCCAUUUCAAAAUCCCAAACCAUGCACAUGCGGUCCGACACACAUUGAAAUCACACCACAAAAUGCCGUAAACCUCAAAGAUAACUCCACGAUUAUAAGCAUUACUGCCACUGACUCACUUACAAACUCCACACGCCAAAUAAACGCCCGGAAUUUCUACCGGCCAGCACAUAUCAAACAACAGGAUGCUAUCCUGCUGAAAGCAAAAUACUUUUUGCCAUGCAGACGGUUUAUAUUCCUGCUCGUCAGUUCUACUGAAUAUGUGCCGCUAUUCCGGGAACUAUAUUGACCUGUCUGAUGUACAUAACGCACGCAGUUGAAGACGUCCAUUUUGCGGCUAGUUGUUUUGCUUAGUAUCUAUUAAUUUUCCCAAGUGAAACUAUUGUUAUAUAUGUUAUAUGUUAUAUGUAUUGAACCUCGCGCACGAUAAAAAAUACAGCAUUUGUUCUUACGAAACUGUCCGUGCGAACUCUACAACGGCAUU
rnacentral:lncRNA from 1 species